GGUGGUGGUGGUGUCUUCCUGUCUCAACGAUACCUAUUUUCUAGUGCUGAGAUCCUGAGACAAUGAAUCAUAGUGAAAGAUUCGUUUUCAUUGCAGAGUGGUAUGAUCCAAAUGCUUCACUUCUUCGACGUUAUGAGCUUUUAUUUUACCCAGGGGAUGGAUCUGUUGAAAUGCAUGAUGUAAAGAAUCAUCGCACCUUUUUAAAGCGGACCAAAUAUGAUAACCUGCACUUGGAAGAUUUAUUUAUAGGCAACAAAGUGAAUGUCUUUUCUCGACAAUUGGUAUUAAUUGACUAUGGGGAUCAAUAUACAGCUCGCCAGCUGGGCAGUAGGAAAGAAAAAACGCUAGCCCUAAUUAAACCAGACGCAGUAUCAAAGGCUGGAGAAAUAAUUGAAAUAAUAAACAAAGCUGGAUUUACUAUAACCAAACUCAAAAUGAUGAUGCUUUCAAGGAAAGAAGCAUUGGAUUUUCAUGUAGAUCACCAAUCAAGACCCUUUUUCAAUGAGCUGAUCCAGUUUAUUACAACUGGUCCUAUUAUUGCCAUGGAGAUUUUAAGAGAUGAUGCUAUAUGUGAAUGGAAAAGACUGCUGGGACCUGCAAACUCUGGAGUGGCACGCACAGAUGCUCCUGAAAGCAUUAGAGCCCUCUUUGGAACAGAUGGCAUAAGAAAUGCAGCGCAUGGCCCUGAUUCUUUUGCUUCUGCGGCCAGAGAGAUGGAGUUGUUUUUUCCUUCAAGUGGAGGUUGUGGGCCGGCAAACACUGCUAAAUUUACCAAUUGUACCUGUUGCAUUGUUAAACCUCAUGCUGUCAGUGAAGGUAAGUGCUGUGUUGAAUACACUAUAUUCAAUACAUUUUGUUAAUAGGAGAGCAAUGUUUAUUUUCUUGAUGUACUUUAUGUAUAGAAAUUAAAGUAUACUUUCAGUAUUUCCAUUUUUUUUCUUUGAAGGCACUUGAAUAAAGGUGACAAAAUAUAAGGGAAAAUCUGUCUAAAUCUCUAUUUGUCUUUUUCUUUGUGCAUUUUUAGGAGGUGGUCUUUGAGUUGCUGAUCAUGCUCAGGCUCAGUCAUACUGCUACAGAUCUUGGUUAAUUGACUUUUAGUCUGACUCCUCUCUUUCUAAUCACAAACUGUGAUUCAGUUAAUUUACUUAAAUAGCACUUUUUUUUUUUUUUUUUGAGACAGAGUCUAGUUCUGUUGUCCAAGCUGGAGUGCAGUGGCAUGAUCUCGAGUUACUGCAACCUCAGCCUCCUGAGUAGCUGGGAGUACAGGCACAUGCCACCAUGCCUGGCUAAUUUUUGUAUUUUUAGUAGAGACAGGGUUUCACCAUAUUGGUCAAGCUGGUCUCGAACUCCUGACCUCAGAUAAUCCACCCACCUCUGCCUCCCAAAGUGCUGGGAUUACAGGCAUGAGCCACUGUGCCCAGCCAAUAGCACUCCUGUUGUACAAAUUAAAACAAUGUCUGCCAUACCUCCAGUAUACCCUUCCUGAGAAGGCUGGAGAAAUUUCCUUCAGUUCUCUGUAUCUGAAACAGUUCUUUGACAUAUGUAUGUAUAUACAUGUUUGCAUAUAUACAUAUAUAGAGAGAAAGAGUUUGCAAGUUCUUUUCUUAUUUUUGUCUCAAUUUCUUUAUUUUAUUUAUUUUAGUCUGGUAUAUAUAUUUUUGUUAGGUAUCUCAAAUCUUUUUGGAAGUAAGAUGGGCUAUGGUUAAAAAGAUCACCCUUAAAAAACUAGAAUAUACUAAAUAAUAUACAGAAGUGAAUGGAUUUUAAAAUUUUAUGUCUCCUAAGUAUCCAAGUAUUCCAUGUAUGUAGUAGAAAAUUGGAAAUAAAAAACCAUUAAAAAUGAAGUAAAAAAUUACUGAAUUCCCAUCACCUGAAGAUAGUCAUUGUUAAUGUUUUGAUGCAUUUCCUCUAAAUCAUUUUUUUCUGAAUUUGUAUGUGCAUGUGUGUACACUGCUACACAUGAGUGUAAUGGUUGAGAUUUAGGUCUAUAGGCUGUUGUUUAAAUAUAAUUUUUGUGAGCAUUUCUGGCUGCUGUUAAGUCCUCAUUAAUAUUUUAAUAGAUUCUUUAAUAUUUAACAGCAAUUGUAUAGAUGUAGUAUGGUAUUUGGAUACUUAGGUUGGUUUCAGUGUUUUGAUAUUAAAAUUAAAACUUUGAAGAAUAUCUUUAUACAUAAAUAUUUGAUGAUAUCUCUAAUCUUUUCCUCUGGCUAGUUUCCUAGAAAUAGAGUUACUUGUUGGAAGGAUAUGAGCCUUAAAGAUCUUGCUGCAUAAUUAAUACUUCUUUAAUUAUUUAGGAAGUAUUUUAGUAUAUUGUAAAUCCUUAGGACCAUGAUUAUAAGGAACUAACAUGCAGCAUGGGUAACAAACACUUAUGGAGAAUAUACCACUAUGUGCCAGGGAGCAGACUGGUUCCUUAUACAUUAUCUUUAAUCUUCACAACAAGUAUGUCAAGUAGGUAAAUUUGUUGCUCUUUUCCAGAUAGGCAAGCUAAGGUUCCAUGAGAUUAAGUUGUUUCUCCUAAUUUGGAAUGGAAAUUGAGGAUGCAAACCCUGUUUGUUUGUUUGUUUUUAAUCUCCAUUCUGUUCCCUCUAUACUCUAUUGCCCCAAUAGCAAUAGCCACAAAAAAGUCACAUGGCAUAUGAUUAGUAACAAUUCUAUAGGAAGUGAUAGUAAUAUUUGAAAUGGCUAGUGUUGAAAAUUUAUGGAAAAAACCUGGGAUUUUAUGUUUCACUCAUUUUUCUUAGCUGGGGAGAUUGUGUGUGUGUAUGUGAGUGUCUACACAGGUGUGGUAUCCCUAAUCCAAAAAUCUGAAACCCAAAUUACUCCAAACUCCAAAAUUUUUUGAGCACAGACAUGAAGCUCAGAGGAAAUGGUCAUUGUAGCAUUUUCAACCACUGGUUUAUGUUUAUUGGAUUUUUGAAUUAGGGAUGCUCCACAAAUACAUAACUACAGAUAUUUCAAAAUCCAAAAAAAAAUUGAAAUCCAAAACACUGCUUGUCACAAGCAUUUGUGUAAGGAAUAUUCAACCUGUACACACACAUGCACAUACAUACACCCAUGUAUAUUUAUGUACAUAUACAUAUAUACAUGCACACACAUAGUACACUCACAUUUUGAAAAAGUUCUUGUUUAUAGGCAUCAACUUUUUAAAAAGCUUAUCCUUGACACCCUAAAAUGUUUUAUUCAAUUUAUCUGAUCUAAUCCUUUUCAAGGAAAAAUAUGUUGCAAGGAGAGUGAAAUAAAAUAAAGUGGUACAAGAAUAAAUACUAGUUGUAUACCUUAAUAAUUGCACAUAUAGCUGGGAGAACUGAUAGCCACAUGGAGAAAAUUGACACGGGACCCCUUCCUUACACUGUAUACAAAAAUUAACUCAAGAUGAAUUAAAGACUUAAAUGUAAAACCCAAAACUAUAAAAACCCUAGUAGAAAAUCUAGUCAAUACCAUUCAGGACAUAGGCAUGGGCAACAAUUUCAUGAACAAAACAUGAAAAGCAAUUGCAACAAAAACAAAAAUUGUCAGAUUGGAUCUAAUUAAACUAAAGAGCUUCUGUACAGCAAAAUGAGCUAUCAUCAGAGUGAACAGACAACCUACAGAAUGAGAGAAAAUUUUUGCAAUCUAUCCAUCUCACAAAGGUUUAAUACCUGGAAUCUACAAGGGACUUAAAUUUACAAGAAAAAACAACCUCAUUAAAAAGUGAGCAAAGGACAUGGACAGACCCUUCUCAAAAGAAGACAUUCAUGCACCCAACAAACACAUGAAAAAAAGCUCAAGUCGAAUUGCUAACUAGAAUAACCAAUGCAGAGAAGAACAUGAAUGACCUGUUGGAGCUGAAAAGCACAGCACAAAACUUUGUGAAGAAUACACAAGUAUCAAUAGUCAAAUCGAUCAAGUGGAAGAAAGGAUGUCAGUGACUGAAGAUCAACUUAAUGAAAUACAAAGAGAAGACCAGAUUAGAGAAAAAAGAAUAAAAAGAAAUGAACAAAGCCUCCAAGAAAUAUGGGAUUAUGUGAAAAGACAAAUCUGCGUUUGAUUGGUGUACCUGAAAGUGACGGGGAGAAUGGGACCAAGUUGGAAAACACUCUUCAGGAUAUUAUCCAGGAGAACUUCCCCAAACUAGCAAGACAGACCAACAUUCAAAUUCAGGAAAUACAGAGAAUACCACAAAGAUACUCCUCGGGAAGAGCAACCCCAAGACACAUAAUCGUUAGAUUCACCAGGGUUGAAAUGAACAAAAAAAUGUUAAGGGCAGCCAGAGAGAAAGGUUGGUUUACCCACAAAGGGAAGCCCAUCAGACU
rnacentral:sRNA from 1 species